UGUGGGAUUCGUACACACAUUGUGGGAUUCGUAAACACAUAGCACGCGAAACACACACACAUCGUGGGAUUCGUACACACAUAGCACGCGAACCACACACAUUGUGGGAUUCGUAAACACAUAGCACGCGAAACACACACACAUCGUGGGAUUCGUAAACACAUAGCACGCGAAACACAAACACAUUCACCAAAUGUGUGUGUGAAUUGUUUUACGCGCAUUUGUAACGUGCUUCCAAUUACAAAUUCCCACUUACGAAUACAAAUUCCCACUUACGAAUGUGUGGAUCGUUUUGAUACCCGUCAUGCGCAACUGAGAAGAACACAUGCAUUUUUUUAACUGGAGCCCGUCUUCAGCCAAUCAGACGUCUUCUUCUUAAACAGCCAAUCACAAGGGCUGGGCUGUUUCGUUACGUCACUGCUGUGCGCCUUCAAGUCCGGCUGGAGAUUCCUUUUAGACUACAACGCAGUUCAUGCGGUUGUCGUGCGGUUGGUGUACAACAUGGAGAAGAGGUUCCAGGAGAUUUCAAUUUUAUGUCUAGGGGUGAAUUCCCUAAUUUAUAGUGAAUCUCAGAAAUGUGCUUUAAGAAGAUAUAUGCAGAAGCUCAAACUGAAGGUCCCAAACAGAAGCACGAUCACUGUUUAAUGAAGUACACUCGGCUUCAAUUGGUGCACACACAGGCACUGUUAAAACCAGAUCCUCAAUGUACUCCAGAAAUUAUUGGGAUGGCAUGACGGUGGACAUUGACUGAUGGGUCUCUGAAUGCGACGGAUGUCAGAGGACUGGUAACUCUUUGGCUGUGUGUGACACAGCCAUUACAAAGCAUUAAGGUGUCUGCUGUUUGGGAGUUGGUUGGGAUAGACCUGACUGGGCCUCUCCCAAAAACCAAGGAUGGCUUUCAGUACAUUCUUACUGCCACCGAUUAUUUUUCCAAACACAGAUGCCCCCAAAGAAUCCUGUCCGACCAAGGAAGAGAAUUUGUCAAUUAGCUCAACGAUAACCUUUGUGCCUCCUGUGCAUUGAAAGGAGUGUUACAGCUGCAUAUCAUCCUAAGACGAAUGGGCUGGAUGAGAGGACAAAUAGCAAACAUAAAACGGCAAGUUGUUGUUGGUGUUCUAAAAUGUAUAUCUAAUUGUACCCUUCUACUUCGUACAGCUCUUACAAAAUUGGUGAACGACCGACAGGAUUUGUUUGGUGGUUUGGCCUAUUCAGUAGAUAAUUUUGACCGGAUGGUCAUCUGGUCAAGUGCCGUAAAUAAUAACUUUUUUGAUUUAACAAUGUUGUGUUUUCAGUUAAAUUACUGUGGGCUGCAGAGGAUCAAGGCAAGGUGGAGGCUGUCGUUGGACCGUAUAAAUUAUACGACACAUCUUUUCAUACGCUAAAAGGCAACGGCUGGCUGUCUGAUGAAGUCAGUGGGAGCAAUAAGUGUUUAGCAAAUAACAAAGAUUCUUGCCUUUUGCCAAUUUUUUUAUUUUGCUAUGCAAGUAUUUGAUGCAUACAUGCAUAUCCUCAUUGAAAGGCAGCAGCCAAGUGCUGGAUAUAGUUUUUCUCAAUGCAUUUAUUUUUUGCCGGAGUAUAGUUGUAAUGUUGUUACCCCUUUUUUU